rnacentral:rRNA from 1 species
UCGGGAAUAUUGCGCAAUGGAGGAAACUCUGACGCAGUGACGCCGCGUAUAGGAAGAAGGUUUUCGGAUUGUAAACUAUUGUCGUGAGGGAAGAAGAUGACAGUACCUCAGGAGGAAGCUCCGGCUAACUAUGUGCC